rnacentral:lncRNA from 1 species
ACAAAGCAAGACUCUAUUAAAAAAAAUGUAAAAAACAUCAAAUUGCAGUGUUCAAGUAUUUAAGAUGUUUGUAUCCCCUCAGAGUCUAAUGCUUAUUAAGUGUUAAAGGGGUUUAGAAAAAAAUGAAUGCAUUUUCAAAGAAGGUUUAUGAGCUAAAGUACAACAAUUAAAGUCAGGGUUGUAGUCUAUCAUUCACUCUAAGCACAAUGUUCUUUAAACACUAUUUUUACAUAUAUGUGCCUUUGCUCUCUGGAAUGUUUUUCAGUCUAUUCAUAUGGAAACACCUUAACUGUGUCUCGAAGUUGCAUUGCUGGGUCUUUCUGAGCACCACCUUCACUUCCAGUUUUCCCUUUGUCUUUCUAAAGUGCUUGAAAUUGCGACCAAACCAGUUAAUUACAUGGAAAUUCAUAUAGAAUAACAAUUUAAGCAGCGGAACAAUAAAGGUGAAGAAAGUGACCUUCACGUGAUGAAUUAUAUACAUGUAAGUAUAUCGAACUCUGCGGUGACUACAAAGCGUCAAUAGAAAGCACCAUAUAUUGGCCAAUUAGACCCUCUUAGAAAGGGUACUAUUUAAUGGCACCACACUGGGGAUCAUAAUGGGAAUGUGGUACAUGUAAGAUUUCCUCCUUUCUUUCUCCCUGUCAAGAUAGUUGGAGGGAGGGAAGUGAAGGGAACGAAGGGGAGGGGUAGCGGGAGCUACUGUGUAUAGUGAGAAAUCAACGUUUAAACAGGCAUGAGGUAGUAUUCAAAACCACUUAUCUUUUAUAUUUUUCUUUGGGAAGAAGCGGACACUUCCAGCAGUUAGCAGCAGUCCAGAUGGCAAACACAGUGGGCAGAAGCAGGAACAAUUCCGUCCUCCCUGUGCUUGGGAAAAAAAAUACUCUCAAAUACCUCCAAUUAAUUUACUAUGGUAUAUGCCACUAAUUACCAAAUCAUGGAGGGACAGAGUGAUACACUGUCAGCCUUAUGAUGUUCCUGUCAUUUGUACAAUUUAUUCACACAGAAAAAGGAAAAAAGCACCUCUGAUUUUUCUCAUAUUUGUCACUUAGCUACACCAUUCUAUAAUAUUUUGACCAAUGAAGAGUCUUAAUAAACGG